UGGACCACUUCCUGUAAUUCCUAAUAGGGAAGUGACAUCUCAGCGUAACAAAUAUGGGCAAGGUGAAAGUGUCCCAAUUAUUUGUAAGGAAGGAUACAUCGCUCAGAUUAAUCACGUAACGUGUGUUGAGGGAAAAUGGCAUUCAGAUGGAACAUCACUCAAAACAAUCUGUGCACCUAUUGCCAGUCACUGUUCUCCCCCGCCUAAAGUUGAAAAUGCUGUUGCUGUGACUUCAUACCAGAGGGAAUACUUGUCUGGCUCUGAAGUAACUUAUCGAUGCCGUGAUCAUUAUACAAUGGAAGGAGACGCCACAAUUAUAUGCAACAAUGGGCAAUGGGAGGAGAAGAACAUUACAUGCACACCUCCCACUCUGGAACAGUGAUGCAGAUUUUCCUCGAGGUCCAAAAAAGUCUCAGUGAAAAUUCCCCCCCCCCCCCU